rnacentral:rRNA from 1 species
GUCCACAGCCAUGCUGCCCUGAACAAGCCGUCUGAUCUCGGAAGCUAAGCAGGGUCGGGCCUGGUUAGUACUUGGAUGGGAGACCGCCUAGGAAGACCAGGUGCUGUAGACG